rnacentral:rRNA from 1 species
UUGGAGGGAGUAGCCCCUCCGAAAGAGGGAGUUAAUACUCCGUAACAUCACGAUAUGGCAUCAUAAUGUGAUUAUAGCUCCGGCGGUUAAAGAUGGGCGUGCGCCUGAUUAGAUAGUUGGCGGGGUAACGGCCCACCAAGUCUGCGAUCAGUAACUGGUGUGAGAGCACGACCAGUCACACGGGCACUGAGACACGGGCCCG